UUUUUUUUAAUCACUGUUCUUCUUCCUCCCAGCAACUUCUUUCGCCCGUUCCAGCCGCGUUCGAGCUUCCCGGAUCCUGCGUCCGAGUAUCCCGCAGUGCUCUUCAGCCUCCCAUGUCCAUUUCGAGUCAUGAUGUCGCUUCCAAUCCGGCGUCCACGAAGCUCCAAGUGAUCCCGCAUCCAGCCAUCGUCCGGAACCACCGCUUCUUCCGCAUCCAUCCCAGGCGUCCGUCUGCAGCUCCUUCCCCACCUUCUCCGGGAUCCCAUGCUAUGAUCAAGCCGCCC
rnacentral:lncRNA from 1 species